ensembl:rRNA 5S_rRNA 5S ribosomal RNA
GGCCGGCCAUACCACCUUGAACGCGCCCGAUCUCGUCUGAUCUCGGAAGCUAAGCAGGGUCGGGCCUGGUUAGUACUUGGAUGGGAGAAGUUCAUAGCAAAUGCAGAUGCCAAGGUCC